rnacentral:rRNA from 1 species
CGGGUGAGUAACGCGUGAGGAACCUGCCUCAAAGAGGGGGACAACAGUUGGAAACGACUGCUAAUACCGCAUAAGCCCACGGCUCGGCAUCGAGCAGAGGGAAAAGGAGCAAUCCGCUUUGAGAUGGCCUCGCGUCCGAUUAGCUAGUUGGUGAGGUAAUGGCCACCAAGGCGACGAUCGGUAGCCGGACUGAGAGGUUGAACGGCCACAUUGGGACUGAGACACGGCCCAG